UAUCUCUGUAGAGUCUGCAUAUCAAUAAGCGGAGGAAAAGAAACUAACUAGGAUUCCCUCAGUAACGGCGAGUGAAGCGGGAAGAGCUCAAAUUUGAAAUCUUCAAGGUUUUACCUUGACGAAUUGUAGUUUAAAGAAGUGUUUUCUGUUGGAGUUUUGGUAGAAGUUCUUUGGAAUAGGACAUCAUAGAGGGUGAGAAUCCCGUAUUUGACCAUUUCUUCCAGCUGUGUGACACACUUUCAAAGAGUCGGAUUGUUUGGGAAUGCAGUCCAAAAUGGGUGGUAAAUUUCAUCUAAAGCUAAAUAUUGGCGAGAGACCGAUAGCGAACAAGUACCGUGAGGGAAAGAUGAAAAGAACUUUGAAAAGAGAGUUAAACAGUACGUGAAAUUGUCAAAAGGGAAGCGUUUGACACCAGUGUUGUUUUCUCGAAAAUCAAUUAAAAAUGGCCUGAUUUUGUGUUGUAUUGACCUUAUCAAGCUUUCUUCACUUUUUUCAUUGUCUUUUUUAAUGCACUUUUCGUUUAACAAGUCAGCAUCAGUUUCUUUUGUUGUAAAAGAGGCCAUUGGAAGGUGGCUUUCCUUUCGGAUGAAAGUGUUUAUAGCCUUUGACUUCUGCAAUCGGAGAGAUUGAGGUCUGCAGCGUAGAUCCUUCGGGGUUAGAUACAUUUGUGCUAAGUUAUAGUUUUUCAUAGACAACAUGUUGACUAUGAUUAAUCAUGUAGCUUACUCGCUUAUGCUAUUUUACCUACGCUUAGGAUGUUGAACGCGCACAGAGUCUC
rnacentral:rRNA from 1 species